GGGCGCAUAGCUCAGCUGGUUUAGAGCAUCUGCCUUACAAGCAGAGGGUCGGGGGUUCGAAUCCCUCUACGCCCA
rnacentral:tRNA from 2 species